UGCAACAGUCACCGGUUAAUGGUAAGCGUAUAUAGUAUACAUUCAGCCAUGCUGGCGCGCGCUUUUCAUCGCAGCCUUCCUCGCGCAGCGGGACUGUGCUCGUUAUAAAAGCUCCAGCCGCUUCUCCGCUCUCCCUUCAACAUUUUCAUUUCUUUCUGGCCGACUAGAGGAUAGCAGGAACUCAUUCCCGGCAGCAGCAGCAUGCAAACUUUCCUCGGAAUCCUGCUGCUUCUGCUGGUCCUUCAGCGGGUACCUGCGCAGAUAUCAGAUGAAGAGGGUCCCAAUACAGUAAUUCAGUUGUCUGAGGUGAUGGCAAAGUGCUCGUGUCAGGUCAUGGACCAGCUGGUGUAUGUGUACGAUGAGUACCCCCAGUCGGUGGAGAACAUCUACAUGCCUCAUUGUGUGGUGGUUCGCCGAUGCUCUGGUUACUGUUCGGGUGAGGAAUUCAAGUGCCUUCCUACCCUCGAACGCAACGCCACUCUGCAGCUGAAGAUUUCUUCCCAAGAACAGCCUGUGGAGCUCACAUUUCUAGAACAUCAGCAGUGUCAAUGCAGAGACCCUGAGAAUCUUCCGUACUAUGAAAGAUCAGUAAUUAAGUCAGUAAGUAACACAGUGAGUAAUGAGUGUUUUGUCUAUCAGAGUUGAACACAUCAAUAUUUCUGAGGUCUUUCUCCUGCAGCAGCAGCAGCAGCAGCAAGUCCACUGAGAGCAGACCUCGGAGGAGGAAACAUACCAAGAAAUGGCUGUAGAAACUGCCAGUUCCAGACAAGAAGAUCACUCUUCGCUGAUUUGCACCUGGUGAAUAUGGAGUGGUGAACAUCACAUAUCUCCAUCCAUUCCCAUAUAUUUUAUAACUUAUAUACUGUUUUGUUUUGUUUUUUUUGCUGAGUAAUCACCAAAGCAACCCUAACCCUGGAUGUGUACAGUUCCUUUGGCCAUGGCCUCCAUUUUUCCGUUUUCAUCUAUUUAUCUUUUCACUUUAAGCUUCCUGCUGUGUUACGUUUUCAAAACAGACACAGUAUACAGAACACAUACAGAAUAGGAUCAGAGAUAAUGGCUGGAAUGCUUUGAGCUUUUCAACCAGGUUUAAAGCCUAAAUCCAUCCCUUAAGUGUUUAUUAACUUGUCAGAUUAAUGGCAUGUGGUGUCUUUGUGACUUUUAUUCUGCUGUCUGCAUUUUUGUGCCAUUUGUAUAUAAAAGAAUAUUUAUAUAUGUAUCUAUU